GAGAGUUUGAUCCUGGCUCAGGACGAACGCUGGCGGCGCGCCUAACACAUGCAAGUCGAACGAGCAAAGAGGAGCUUGCUUCUCUGAGCGAGUGGCGAACGGGUGAGUAACGCGUGAGGAACCUGCCUCAAAGAGGGGGACAACAGUUGGAAACGACUGCUAAUACCGCAUAAGCCCACGGGUCGGCAUCGACCAGAGGGAAAAGGAGCAAUCCGCUUUGAGAUGGCCUCGCGUCCGAUUAGCUAGUUGGUGAGGUAACGGCCCACCAAGGCGACGAUCGGUAGCCGGACUGAGAGGUUGAACGGCCACAUUGGGACUGAGACACGGCCCAGACUCCUACGGGAGGCAGCAGUGGGGAAUAUUGCACAAUGGGGGAAACCCUGAUGCAGCGACGCCGCGUGGAGGAAGAAGGUCUUCGGAUUGUAAACUCCUGUUGUUGAGGAAGACAAUGACGGUACUCAACAAGGAAGUGACGGCUAACUACGUGCCAGCAGCCGCGGUAAAACGUAGGUCACAAGCGUUGUCCGGAAUUACUGGGUGUAAAGGGAGCGCAGGCGGGAAGACAAGUUGGAAGUGAAAUCCAUGGGCUCAACCCAUGAACUGCUUUCAAAACUGUUUUUCUUGAGUAGUGCAGAGGUAGGCGGAAUUCCCGGUGUAGCGGUGGAAUGCGUAGAUAUCGGGAGGAACACCAGUGGCGAAGGCGGCCUACUGGGCACCAACUGACGCUGAGGCUCGAAAGUGUGGGUAGCAAACAGGAUUAGAUACCCUGGUAGUCCACACCGUAAACGAUGAUUACUAGGUGUUGGAGGAUUGACCCCUUCAGUGCCGCAGUUAACACAAUAAGUAAUCCACCUGGGGAGUACGACCGCAAGGUUGAAACUCAAAGGAAUUGACGGGGGCCCGCACAAGCAGUGGAGUAUGUGGUUUAAUUCGACGCAACGCGAAGAACCUUACCAAGUCUUGACAUCCUGCGACGGACAUAGAAAUAUGUCUUUCCUUCGGGACGCAGAGACAGGUGGUGCAUGGUUGUCGUCAGCUCGUGUCGUGAGAUGUUGGGUUAAGUCCCGCAACGAGCGCAACCCUUAUGGUCAGUUACUACGCAAGAGGACUCUGGCCAGACUGCCGUUGACAAAACGGAGGAAGGUGGGGAUGACGUCAAAUCAUCAUGCCCUUUAUGACUUGGGCUACACACGUACUACAAUGGCGUUAAACAAAGGGAAGCGAGCCCGCGAGGGGGAGCAAAUCCCAAAAAUAACGUCCCAGUUCGGACUGCAGUCUGCAACUCGACUGCACGAAGCUGGAAUCGCUAGUAAUCGCGAAUCAGAAUGUCGCGGUGAAUACGUUCCCGGGUCUUGUACACACCGCCCGUCACACCAUGGGAGUCAGUAACGCCCGAAGUCAGUGACCCAACCUUAGGGAGGGAGCUGCCGAAGGCGGGAUUGAUAACUGGGGUGAAGUCGUAACAAGGUAGCCG
rnacentral:rRNA from 1 species